UUAUUGCACAUUUGCAGGCUGAAAACAAUCAUUCUCUUCCACGGAACUUGCAAUUCGGAUUUCCUCUCGCAGAUUUUUGGUCGCAUUUCCAUUUGUGUGUGUGUUUGUGUCCUUACCAGUAGGAUAUACCCAUAGACACUAGAUUUUCUUUUCUUGUGACAAAAGAAAUGAUGGAAGCACUUUUGAUUAAAGUCCUUUUAUGCACAUAUCCUAACGGAUGCAGUGCGUGUUCAAAAAUCACCAUUGACAACGCCUCUAUUAUAGUAACACGCGUGGACUGGACACAGUGUGUCGAUACAAGAGAGUACAACAUGACCGUAAAGAACCCCGCCAACAGUGUGCUCUAUCAAAACAGUACAUCGUGCUGUAAAGGAAACAUCACAAUCUACUUUGAUGUCGAUGGUUAUUUAGAGGGAACAACUACAUCAUAUGAUUUGAAGUGGAUUACUGCUGAAGAGACAACAUCGUCGAAAACCACUCCCAUCAAUCCCUUUGGAUUUUAAUGAAGACUAGCAGCGGUGCCUUGAUUUUCGAGCCUCAAAACCAGCCUCGCUCACAUCGUGUCAUGGCCGUGAUGGCUGUUGCCUCGAAACAACAGUGGCGGAUCCAGGAUUUCCGAAAGGAGGGGGAUUGUGAAAGUAGAGUAUUAAUCAAAGUACUCAGCCAUUUUGGGUGCCAAUCUGGACUUUUACUGUCAUUAUUUGUAUUUUUAAAUUUGUGGUGAAAAUGGGGAGGGCAUCGGAAUCCCCCACUGAAUUACAUAAGCAAGAGAACUUUUGAAGCGUUGAUUGUACUCAUACGCAAGAAAAUACUGAUCACGUGACCAAUUUCAUGUUAUGCGAAAUUGAAUAUCAAUUUCA